GUAUGAUAAGCAGACAGGUGGUAGUUAGUUACAGUUCUGUAUGAUAAGCAGACAGGUGGUAGUUAGUUACAGUUCUGUAUGAUAAGCAGACAGGUGGUAGUUAGUUACAGUUCUGUAUGAUAA